GUACUGAGGUGCUGAGGUACUGAGGUACUGAGGUGCUGAGGUACUGAGGUGCUGAGGUACUGAGGUGCUGAGGUGCUGAGGUACUGAGGUACUGAGGUGCUGAGGUACUGAGGUGCUGAGGUACUGAGGUACUGAGGAACUGAGGUGCUGAGGUACUGAGGUGCUGAGGUACUGAGGUGCUGAGGUACUGAGGUGCUGAGGAACUGAGGUACUGAGGAACUGAGGAACUGAGGUACUGAGGAACUGAGGUACUGAGGUGCUGAGGUACUGAGGUACUGAGGUGCUGAGGUAUUGAGGUACUGAGGUACUGAGGCACUGAGGUGCUGAGGUACUGAGGUGAAUCCAGAUGUUCUUGAAUGAUGAUGUCUUCUGUAGGAUGGAAAUAGGCUGUAAUGAGUAGCAUACUAGAAACUAG
ensembl:lncRNA